rnacentral:rRNA from 1 species
UACGAAGGGUGCAAGCGUUACUCGGAAUUACUGGGCGUAAAGCGUGCGUAGGUGGUCCGUUAAGUCUGAUGUGAAAGCCCUGGGCUCAACCUGGGAAUGGCAUUGGAUACUGGCAACCUAGAAUGUGGUAGAGGGUGGCGGAAUUCCCGGUGUAGCAGUGAAAUGCGUAGAUAUCGGGAGGAACAUCCGUGGCGAAGGCGGCCACCUGGACCAACAUUGACGCUGAGGCACGAAAGCGUGGGGAGCAAACAGG